GGCCGUGGCAAGCUGUGAUUUCUCUUCAGCAAAACACCAGCUGUCACCAGCGUUAUGAAAUUAAUUCCCAAGAUAGAGGGAAAAUGACUUUGUCAGACAAGGCAACUCUUUUGUGAGGACAACCAAUAAGCAGAAACGCAUCCAGAAAGCCCCCAGACUUCUCCAGUCCAUGCUUCUGACGCAGCUCAGCCAAGACAAAAUGGAGAUGGAGCAGUUGUACCACUUGGCCUUAAAAGAGACUCAGGGAAGAGAUUGCUGGAAACAUUUCAGUGUGUGGCAGAAUGACACGCUCACAAGUGGACUCUGGGAACUGUUGGCCAACGAGUACCUUUUGGCCCGUUGUCUUGCAGAUCUUGAU